rnacentral:misc_RNA from 1 species
CUACAUGUGGGAAGAAAAAAAAAACGCGAGUGUUUAUGACUGGGCUCUAAGCGCGCUUGAUGCCUUGGUGCGCCUGGGCUCGCCUGGGUGCGCCUCCUGUAGGUCGCUCGCCUUUGGGUGUCUCAGGCGAUGGGCCUGAGGCGUGCCUCGGGUGCGCCUUUAAUAACAGUGCCCCCUAAUUUAUGGAAUCACCAAAAGUCAAUAGUUUAAGAAUAAUUUAUGGAACUAUGUUCCAUUAUAAAUAUGCAUGUAAACAAGUGAUGCAAAUGAAACAUGUAGCCUUUGUGUUGUUUCUCCCUUCCUUCCUCUCUUUUUUCUUAUUCUCUUUCUAAAGCUUAACAUGUUAAGUUCUUAGAAAGAGAAUAAGGAGAAAAGGAGAAGGGAAUAACCACAAAGACUAUAUUUUCAUUCACUUCACAUUUUGGUUACACAAUACAUGAGUCCAUAUUUAUAAUGGAGGAUACAAUACAUAUACCAUAAAUUAUUCCUAAACUACCGACUUUUGAUGACCCAUAAAUUAAAGGAGAAUUUCAACACUCCUCUUGAAUCAUGGGAUUUUCCAAUAUGUAACGAAUCUCAUGAAUUAAGUAAACUCUCAUCAAUUUUAACAAUUCUGAUAAAAGUCACAUUGCUUCUUGUUAUGGAAAGUCAAUCACUA